UACAGAGGUCUCAAGCGUUGUUCGGAUUCAUUGGGCGUAAAGGGCGCGUAGGCGGCGCGGUAAGUCGGGUGUGAAAUCUUGGAGCUUAACUCCGAAACUGCAUUCGAUACUGCCGUGCUUGAGGACUGGAGAGGAGACUGGAAUUUACGGUGUAGCGGUGAAAUGCGCAGAUAUCAGGAGGAACACCGGUGGCGAAGGCGGGUCUCUGGGCCGUAACUGACGCUGAGGAGCGAAAGCGUGGGGAGCGAACAGG
rnacentral:rRNA from 1 species